AUCUAAGCACGAAACUUGCCCCGAGAUGAGUUCUCCCUGAGACUUUAAGUCUCCUGAAGGAACGUUGAAGACGACGACGUUGAUAGGUCGGGUGUGUAAGCGCAGCGAUGCGUUGAGCUAACCGAUACUAAUGAACCGUGAGGCUUAACCUUACAACGCCGAAGGUGUUU
rnacentral:rRNA from 1 species